GUACCUCAGGUUACAUACGCUUCAGGUUACAUAUGCUUCAGGUUACAGAUUCCGCUAACCCGGAAAUAGUGCUUCAGGUUAAGAACUUUGCUUCAGGAUGAGAACAGAAAUCGUGCUCCGGUGGCACGGCAGCAGCAGGAGGCCCCAUUAGCUAAAGUGGUGCUUCAGGUUAAGAACUGUUUCAGGUUAAGUACAGACCUCCGGAACGAAUUAAGUACUUAACCUGAGGUACCACUGUACAUAACAAAAGGCAUGGCUGCUAAUACAUAGGAAGUUGCCCCCAAAGAAAUGUAAGUGAUGUGUGCUUUCUCUCUCCCCACACUCCCAGGUUUCAUUCAAAAGGCUGGCAAAUGCAGACGCCCCACAGUGAAUGGACACUUGACCCCAUAUCAAGAAAAUGUACAUCUUCCGAUCUGAAUCUCACGCUCCUAACAUCUACCCCUCACCUGCAAUAUUGAACACUUUUUUCAGUAACUAAUGAGUUCUUUCUCUAUACCCCCUUAGACAUUUUGUAAGUUUUUGUGACUUUCAUUCUUGCUUUGUCCAGAGUUCUUUUGUAGUUUAUCAAUGUAGGAGUGAAUCUUGUCUCAUUUCUUUCUCACCUGUGGGAAUGAGUUCAUUUUAGCCCAUCCAUUCGAUCUUCUGAAGCUUGGUAAUAUUUUUGACUGUGACUCUGAGUUCCUUUAGCAAACUGUCAUAUUCAUCUUUCCCCCUUGGGAAAUCUACCACUGUUAUUGGCACUUGUUCAUUCUCCUCCACUGAGAACAGUAAACUAUAUAGAAUUAAUCUGCAUUUGUAAAAGAAAUACCUAUCGCUUUUUUCCCUUCUGUGCCAUAGGCAUGCUUUUGUAAGAUCAUUGUAUUCUUCCCCAAUGUCUUUUCCCACUUCCUAACCUCCUCCCUCAGUGCAUGGGAAAAUGCAAACUUUACUCAAGACACCGAAAAUUGUACUAAGGCAACAUUACAUUACAUUAUAUCUUAUAUGAUUUAACAUUACAGAAUCCCUUGAAAUUCACUGCGGGUCACAAACCAAAGUAGUAUCUUGUUGAAAAUUCUUUAAAAAUCUAUGACUGAGGCAAGGCAAAUUCUCACAUAAAAAAGCAACUAAGAUGCAGGCCUAUAGCUGACCCAUAUAAGUAUGGGGCGAGGAAUUCAUUGAGUUUGUCUAAUUCACGUUUCCUGAACCAGUACGCCAACUGCCACCCCCCAGUUAAAAUUACCGUAAGAUAAUAGUAUCAAUGCAAGCUUCAAAAAUCACUCGAAAAUAGCAUUAAACACCAACGAAAAACAAGGUGUGCCAAGGACUUAAAUAUACUGGGUGGUAUUCAAUACUAGUCAUACUCAAGAGUAGACCCAUAAAAAUUAAUGGACAUAAAUGACAUAGUGUUUUAGAAAGUCUGACUUAGGAACGUUCACCUUUAAAUGUGAACAGUAUCAAAUUUCCACCCCAUCCCUGUUUGCGAGUUACCUAUGGCAUGGGCAUUUGGCAAAAUGGUGGGCAUCAGAUAAGGGCUGUCCAAGAUGAAACAGGAAAUUUUCCCAGUAAAGACAACUCUUUAUAUAGCAUUAAUGUCCCCGGUCACAGCGGCCUGCCUUGGUGCCUUAUUAGUUUUAAUGAGCAUUGUUGUUUUGUUUUCAUAUUUUAACACACACACACGCUCUCAUUUUAUUCUGUAAACCUAAUUAGGUCCAAAACUGCCUGCUCUGAUCUCAAGAUAGCUAUUGAGAAAACCCAAGUUUUAAAAAAUUCAUUUGUUUUCAAGCAUUUACCUCCCCUGAUACAUGAGCUGAACACCAUUCUCUCAGUCCUGCAUUUUUGCUUUAUAGCAAAUAAAAAUCCUGUCAUAAAACAUUCUCUUUACCAGCAAAUGUGCCAAGAUUUGCAGAAAGAUUAAAGCAAUAUAUACCAGAAGAAGAAGAAAUACAACCAAUAUACAUGGCGUCUUUUUGUUCAGUGCCAUCCAAGAUUCUAUUGCCAAGAAUCAUUUGAAGGCUACAAUAUUAGAGUAUUACUACACACACUUCCUUGGAAAGAAGUCCCAUGGAAAUCAAUAGGCCUUACUUCUGAGUCAACAUGCAUAGGGUUGUUCUGAAUAUUGUGCCUAGGCACUGCCAUACCUUUUGUGAACCUCCUCUAAUAAAUUGAAUGUUUUGAAAUAAUUGACCCACGCAUCACAGUGUCAAUAGGAGUCCUAAAUGGAUGGCAAAGAUUUCAACAUCUCUCAGGGUCUGUGAUUUUCUUUUCUUAAAAGGAAGAGCAUCAGUCUCCAGUAUUAAGCACAGUACUGUUGUGUAGACACACAGAGAACUUAUAGUGUUAGGAGUAUCAUUUGUUGCCUAUUACAAAUUUUGUUGCAUUUUCCUAUUGAAACGCAUGUGAACUUUACAACAGCCAUUUAGAGACAAAGGGGUAAAAUUUGUCCAGUUUCUCUCCCCCCAUGUUGUUAAUAGGGUUACAACAUAAACCAGGGGUCGGCAAGCUUUACCGGCCAUGGGCCGGAUCAGUCCCACGGAGAUCGUCUGUGGGUCAGACUGGUGCAGCGCGGAGCCAGAAAUCAUGUCUGCGCAUGUCUGCUGUGGUGCCGGAAAUUGCUUCUGCGCAUGCCCAGACGCCAAAAAUCGCACCUGCACAGAAGCGAUUUUCGGCAUCUGGCCAUGCACAGAUGCGAUUUCCGGUAUCUGCGUGUGCGCAGACACGAUUUCCAGCACCGCUCAGCGAGUCCCCGCACCACGCUGCGCCAGUUUAGUGCAGCGUGGGGGGGGACUCACCGAGUGGGUAGCUCGGUUCAGGGUGGCUUGUGGGCUGGUAAAACGGUCUUCGUGGGCCACAUCCAGCCCAUGGGCCAUACAUUGCCGACCCCUGAGAUAAACCCAUGCAUGCUUACUGUGAAGUGAGCCCUACUGUGUUCAGUUUUGUUUGAUCACAGGAAAGUAAGAUUUCAGUUGUCAUUUCAUCUAGGCAGGAGUGGGGAACUGGUCCUCCCAAGGAUCCUAUAAAGGUCUUCUUCUUCUUUGGCGAUCACUCAUAGCCGAGUAAGAUUGUCUUCCAAAACAUGGUCUUAGCAGUGAGUCCGUAAGUGACUGUGGAGGCCAAUUCUGGAUCCACACGUCCUUCCACAGUGGGGACAUAGGUUUCCGGGUGGGAGUUGAUCAUUUUCAAUGCAUAGGCCAACCUGAUACCCUCCCCGUGUGCAUUCAACCUGAGAUAACAUGGACAAUUGUCAGGGAUGAUGUGUUAGUCCAAAAAAACUGGAGGGUACAAUUUUGGCUGCCUUCCUGCCUCUGCCUCCACAUCUGGAAAAAGCCUAACUUACUGGGGUCUGUUUGUUACAGGUGGCUUGGAACUGUAAGUUAGAAGGGGUAAAUUACAGUACCCAAAAUUCCUUUAAGAAUUUAUAGUGGGACCACCUAUGGGCUCAAAAAUAUUGCACCAAUAUAAAUAGAGCAAUUGCUAGAAUAACUAGAAUGGCAGUGAGCCUGGAACUAUUGCUAUUUUUUUAUUGACUUAGGUGAAAACAUAAAUAAAUGCUAUCAUGCAGGAUAUGCUCAGUAUUGGAGGGUAAAAGCAAUAGCUAAGGUACAAGAAUGGGAGAUUCAAAUGCACAAAUAAGCUGUUAACGCUAAAUUAACCGAUGCAUUUGGACCAAAGAAGGUAGGCAAAAUAUGGAAUAGAUUUAACAAAGGUGUAUUUAUAACUAGCAGUCCUUGCAUUGCUUGUGAAUUCUGAGAAACCCCCCAAAAUAGUGCCGUUUUGAAAUCAGUAGUUAAAAUCAGUGUGGAUUUGAAAGGUUCUGUCUGCCAUCUUGAUUCAAAAUGGCAUCCAAUCUGGACAGUUCUGCAAGUUUCCCCAGCUUAAACUGACUGCCAUUCCCUUUUUCCUUCUGUACCUGCUGAACUCUUCCUUCCAACAAUGUUCCACAGCUAUCACAGAAUCACAGAAUUCUAGAGUUGGAAGGGACCUUGUGGGUCAUAUAAUCCAACCUGCUGCAAUGCAGGGAUUUUUUUGUCCAGUGUAGGGCUGGAACCCGUGACCCUAAGAUUAAGAGCUUUCCCAGCUAAGCCUUGCCAGAGUAGCCAAGACCCCUGAAACCUCUAGAAGACGGUAAACGAUAAGGUAAACUUAGGUUGUUUUCACCCAGACUUCCACCCCCAAGAUCUGACUUCUUUUGUAACUACCUGAGCCACUGCAAAAAGAAAUGGCUCUACAGUUUGCUCAGCUUAUUAUUGUUUCACAAGGGACUUUGUGACAGCCUAGUAAAGGAGCAGAAUUAUGGUGAGAAUAAAAGUAAAUGUAAAUGAUGCCCAGAAGAAAUGCCUUAACAUUCCAAUAUUUCCAGUGCCGUUAAACUGCUUGAUUGCAGCUUGCGACUCUCCGGUAUGACUACUCACAGAAAUUAAAACAUGCUUAUGUUUCCUGCCCAGAAGCAAAUGUUAUCUGCCUGGUCUCCUCCACAGCUCAGUGGUGGAGCUGAAGGUUUGGCAGCAGAAAAUCCUGGUCUCAGUCCCUGGCAUUUCCAGGUUUAGGUGAUGGUGAUGACAAAGACCUCUGCUGGAGAGCCAAUACGAGCCAGUACAAGUGAAUCCAAUCAGAAUAGAUUUAAUAUUGUGUAGAUGAACAAAUAAGGAAAUCAGCCCUGAGUGCUCACUGGAAGGACAGAUCCUGAAGCUGAGACUCCAAUACUUUGGCCACCUCAUGAGAAGAGAAGACUCCCUGGAAAAGACCCUGAUGUUGGGAAAGAUAGAGGGCACAAGGAGAAGGGGAGGACAGAGGACAAGAUGGUUGGAUAGUGUUCUUGAAGCUACCAGCAUGAGUUUGACCAAACUGCGGGAAGCCGUGGAAGACAGGAGUGCCUGGCGUGCUCUGGUCCAUGGGGUCACAAAGAGUCGGACACGACUAAACGACUAAACAACAACAACAGAUGAACAAAUAAACUGACCUGGCAUUGCGCAAAAUUCCCAGGCACUUAAUAUAGUUUUUUCUUAAACUUCUCCCCGCUUUUUACGGAUUAGAGGCUCAGAGCUAUCCUGCAGCAAAAAGAAAGCAUUCUCUCCUACACCCAUCGUACUUGGUAGUCUACUUCAUACAGGACUGGCCCACCCAUGAGGCGAACUGAGGCAGUCGCUUCGUGUGGCAGAAUGCCAAGGGGCAGUGCCUCCAUGCGUGCCCUGCCUGCCCCUGCCGCCACCCCUUGAAAAAUAAGGAGAAGCAGCAGCAGAGGUUUCUGGUGAGAUCUUGUGGAACUCUUGCAAGAUUUCAUCACCGCCACUGCUUCCUCUCACUUCUCCAGAGCCGACCCCAGAAAGUGAGGCUUUGGCCAGGCGUGGAGGCAGGGGCAGGAAGGCAGCAUCUUCCCAUCUUGCCUCAGGUGGCAAAAUGGAAUGGGCCACCCCUGACUUUCUUAUAUUGCAUAUCUAAGGAGAAAUGGAGAAGUCACUUUCAGUGCAAUACUAUGCAUGUCUACACAAAAUUAAGUCCCAUUGUGAUUAACUUCCACAGUUAUGUGUAUAUAGGACUGCAGCCUUAGAACAUCUUUAUUAAAUCCUGGGGGGUGGCUGAACUUUAGCAACAUCAUGAAACAGAAUCUGCAAGUACUAGUUAUUCUCUCUCUCUCUCUCUCUCUCUCUCUCUCUCUCUCUCUCUCUCGUCACCUGCUUGCAGAAUAUAUGCAUUUCCAGAGUGAAAAGGAGGGGUCAGAGAAAACAAAAUGUUCUGUCUCCUCUUGACAUUCAGCUUGUUUACAUCUCUGUAUCAAGUAAGGAGGGAGAAGCCACAUGGGACCUUCUGUUUCUUACCCUAGAAGGGAAGGCAGAAGUUCUUCUGAGUCCUGAGAAAGGGUCAGGACAUUCUUCCCCAACGUUAUUUUUAUAUAUAUUAUUGCCUUAUGUUCUGUCUCUCUUUCUUCAGGAACCUUGCAGAAGACUUGUGGUUCCUGGAGCUGGAGAAAUUGACAUACAAACUACGUGAUAAGGACAACUGUGACUUUAAAGAAGAAUGAGAACCUUUUACCAAGUACUUAAAGAAACAACAAAAUGUACUGGACUCCUUGGCAGGUUUUGAAUAAACAUAAACAAAUUUAUUAUUGAUAACAUACAGGUAGAUAAAUUAAGGAGCUUUACAAUUUUAUAACAUGCAGAGAAUAACACGUGCUG